GCAGUAGUGGCGAGACCGACUGGACCUUUAUUCUUCUAGAAAUGCUGUCGAUAGAACGACGUGGCAUGGUCGCAGUAGUGGCGAGACCGACUGGACCUUUAUUCUUCUAGAAAUGCUGUAAUAUUAGUAGAUAGCCGACCGGCGAAUAGGCUGUACUCUUGUGUGGCAGUGGAUAAUGAUGACAUGGAAUGCUUGCUGUGAUUGUGAAAUUAAGUGAAAUUGAUUGUGUUC
rnacentral:lncRNA from 1 species